UGGCUCAGGACGAACGCUGGCGGCGUGCCUAACACAUGCAAGUUGAGCGGAGAUAUAUGGAGCUUGCUUUAUAUAACUUAGCAGCGAACGGGUGAGUAACACGUAGAUAAUCUAUCCUAUACUGGGGGAUAGCCCGAUGAAAGUUGGAUUAAUACCGCAUAUAGCUAUAUAGUUGCAUGAUUAUGUAGUGAAAGAUUUAUUGGUAUAGGAGGAGUCUGCGGCACAUUAGCUAGUAGGUGAGGUAAAGGCUUACCUAGGCGACGAUGUGUAGCCGGUCUGAGAGGAUGAACGGCCACAAUGGAACUGAGACACGGUCCAUACUCCUACGGGAGGCAGCAGUGGGGAAUAUUGCACAAUGGGGGAAACCCUGAUGCAGCAACGCCGCGUGAGUGAAGAAGGUUUUCGGAUUGUAAAGCUCUGUUAGCAGGGAAGAGGAAGGACGGUACCUGCAGAGGAAGCCACGGCUAACUACGUGCCAGCAGCCGCGGUAAUACGUAGGUGGCAAGC
rnacentral:rRNA from 1 species